rnacentral:rRNA from 1 species
CGGAGGGUGCAAGCGUUAUCCGGAUUCACUGGGUUUAAAGGGUGCGUAGGCGGGCAGGUAAGUCCGUGGUGAAAUCUCUGAGCUUAACUCAGAAACUGCCAUGGAUACUAUUUGUCUUGAAUAUUGUGGAGGUGAGCGGAAUAUGUCAUGUAGCGGUGAAAUGCUUAGAUAUGACAUAGAACACCCAUUGCGAAGGCAGCUCACUACACAAUGAUUGACGCUGAGGCACGAAGCGUGGGGAUCAAACAGGAUU